rnacentral:misc_RNA from 1 species
CCGAGUUUACAACUCCCAAACCCCUGUGAACAUACCUAUUGUUGCUUCGGCGGGACCGCCCCGGCGCCUUCGGGCCCGGACCCAGGCGCCCGCCGGAGGACCCAAACUCUUGUUUUCAUAAGAAUCUUCUGAGUGAUACAAGCAAAUAAAUUA